GAUGAACGCUGGCGGCGUGCCUAAUACAUGCAAGUCGAGCGAACAGACGAGGAGCUUGCUCCUCUGACGUUAGCGGCGGACGGGUGAGUAACACGUGGAUAACCUACCUAUAAGACUGGGAUAACUUCGGGAAACCGGAGCUAAUACCGGAUAAUAUAUUGAACCGCAUGGUUCAAUAGUGAAAGACGGUUUUGCUGUCACUUAUAGAUGGAUCCGCGCCGCAUUAGCUAGUUGGUAAGGUAACGGCUUACCAAGGCGACGAUGCGUAGCCGACCUGAGAGGGUGAUCGGCCACACUGGAACUGAGACACGGUCCAGACUCCUACGGGAGGCAGCAGUAGGGAAUCUUCCGCAAUGGGCGAAAGCUUGACGGAGCAACGCCGCGUGAGUGAUGAAGAUCUUCGGAUCGUAAAACUCUGUUAUUAGGGAAGAACAAAUGUGUAAGUAACUAUGCACGUCUUGACGGUACCUAAUCAGAAAGCCACGGCUAACUACGUG
rnacentral:rRNA from 1 species